rnacentral:lncRNA from 1 species
CAGUGUGCAUCAGAGGGAGAGAAAAUGACUCUGAAAUCUUACUCAAAUGCUGGAUACAUGAAGGCAAGCUUUGGAGGCACUUGUCCCAAGCAUCACAAUACUGUUAUGCCUGUUGGCUGGGAAAAGAGCUUUAAACUAGAAACGUGUGAAGGCGUGAUGGGAGUAACUUCACAUCUGACCAUAGACAAAGACCAGACAUGACUGCAAUUUUUUUUUGCUGAUUCACAAACUCACAUCUCUAGCAAACUCACUUCAGCAUCACUUCAUAAGACCUCAUUUAUUUAUAUAUUUACUUUGAUGCUAAUAAGAUAACUAAGUAUAUUACACCUAAGGUGUUAUUCAGGGACACCUGAUAUAGUAUAAUACAUGUUCAUAGUUGUUUCCAGUAAGUAAAAUAUAAUAGAUUUUCUUGAAGUUGUUCUGUGUGCAAUUUGCAGAUGACACAAAUCUUGCCUGCAUGGUGUACCAAUUGUUACCAGAAUGAUGUUAAAGAACA